GGGCGGUUAGCUCAGCGGUAGAGCACUGUGUUGACAUCGCAGUGGCCACAAGUUCGAUCCUUGUACCGCCCACCA
rnacentral:tRNA from 1 species